UACGUAGGCAGCGAGCGUUGUUCGGAAUUACUGGGCGUAAAGAGUGUGUAGGCGGUGCUCUAAGUUCGGUGUGAAAUCUCCUGCUUAACUGGGAGGGUGCGCCGGAAACUGGAGUGCUCGAGCGUGGGAGAGGAAAGCGGAAUUCCUGGUGUAGCGGUGAAAUGCGUAGAUAUCAGGAGGAACACCUGUGGUGUAGACGGCUUUCUGGACCAUAGCUGACGCUGAGACACGAAAGCAUGGGUAGCGAACAGG
rnacentral:rRNA from 1 species